AUGGCAGUCCGAUAAUAGCACACUAGAAUGACACGAUUCCUUGUUUUCUAGCAAGCGCGUCCUGUGUCCGUCUGGAUAAACACCCUGCAAGUGCAACAUCACAAACAAACACCGGUGUUGUCUAACGGGGUCGGGAGACGUAUAAAUACACCUGCGUCCCACAAUAACAAUAAAGGCGUAAACCACAGUGCACGAAGAGGCAUUCUGAAGUCUUCAAUCAUGAAGGUCCAGCUGUGUUUAUUCGUAGUCAUUGCCUGCGCUCAUGCCUUGACCAAUGGCCGUGACGAAAAGGGCGCAAGGAUACCAAGGUCCAUAUUCAAUCCCCGCUUCUUCCCCACUGAACGUCCCACUUCCAGACUUCAUACGAGUCCUAACGAGGAAGGAAGGUCCUAUGUCCGUGUUCAGCGACAGCUUCCGUAUAUUCCUUUGUACCAUCCCUGGAAUCCAGCGCCAGAAGGACCCCUAAGGCCUGACUUUCCCGUUUACCACAAGAUAUCGUUCGGGCCCCAGGCUCCGCCGUGGGAUAAGCCCGUAACCGAGUGAAGUCCUUGUGUAUAGGCAUAAGUUUUUAACUGUCCAUAUGUUAUAUUUCAUGCAAUACAAGUGUAUCGUUUGUAAAUGAUUACAAGAUCUGCUUUGGCCA